GACGAACGCUGGCGGCGUGCUUAACACAUGCAAGUCGAGCGGUCAGGCUCCUUCGGUAGUACACUAGCGGCAACCGGGGGCGUAACACUUGCGUAAUCUUCCCUUCCCUUCAGGAUAACCACCGGAAACGGUGGCUAAUACCGAAUACGACCAGUCUUCUCAUGCGGUGCUGUUGGAAAGUCUUUUCGGUCAAGGAUGUGCUCGCGGCCUAUCCGCUGGUUCGUGGGGUAAUUGCCUACCUAGGCUUCGACGGGUAGCCGGCCUGAUAGGCUGACCGGCAAUAAGGGACGUGAGAGACGGCCCAGAGUCCUACGGGAAGCAGCAGUGGGGAAUAGUGGACAAGGGGCGAAAGCCUGAGCCAGCAACGCGGCGUGAGGGAUGACGGCGUAAGGGUUGUAAACCUGUGAAAGUAACGACGAAGCGCCCUGGCGGGUGGUGAGGGUAGGUACAGAAGAAGGACCGGCCAAAUACGUG
rnacentral:rRNA from 1 species